GUCUUUCUGAGGGGGUCCUGGGACGGCAUCGGAAACUUGGGGUAGCCCCUGCGCGGUGUUCUGGAACCCCCACCGGGGUCUCCACCGUCCGCACCGCCGGGCUUGGAGGCAGCCCAGGUGGGAACACGCGUCGCUUUCCUCCGAGUCCCACGGAAUUCACCCAGGACACCGUGGGUACCCCAGCACGAUGGCUGUUUCCUGGUCAUCUUAACGGUUAUCCCCCUCCGCACCCGGCCGGGAUUUUCGUUUUCAGAUCCGGGGUGUUUUACUUUGGAGGUUUAGGGGCCUCACUUGGAGGGAACUCGCAGUAGGAAGACCCGGCUUUGGCUGCUGCUGAGCGGCCGCCGCUGAGUCCGAAGUGUCCCCAGUGUCUUACCUGAUAAUGGGAUUUUACACGGUCUGCUAAGGGUGGCUUCAGGAGCAGACCGUUCCAGAGGAGGAAAUGGGCCUCAGGCCGGCGGGGUAGAAACCCCUAUGGAAUGAAAAGGACGCCCAGCCGACUCCCAGCCGCUUUGUAGAAGAUUGCAAA